rnacentral:rRNA from 1 species
AUUGAACGCUGGCGGCAGGCUUAACACAUGCGAGUCGAGCGGGGUGAUGGUGCUUGCACUAUCACUUAGCGGCGGACGGGUGAGUAAUGCUUAGGAAUCUGCCUAUUAGUGGGGGACAACAUCUCGAAAGGGAUGCUAAUACCGCAUACGUCCUACGGGAGAAAGCAGGGGAUCACUUGUGACCUUGCGCUAAUAGAUGAGCCUAAGUCGGAUUAGCUAGUGGUUGGGGUAAAGGCCUACCAAGGCGACGAUCUGUAGCGGGUCUGAGAGGAGGAGCAGCAACACUGGGGCUGAGACACAGCCCAGACUCCUACGGGAGGCAGCAGUGGGGAAUAUUGGACAAUGGGGGGAACCCUGAUCCAGCCAUGCCGCGUGUGUGAAGAAGGCCUUAUGGUUGUAAAGCACUUUAAGCGAGGAGGAGGCUCUUUUGGUUAAUACCCAAGAUGAGUGGACGUUACUCGCAGAAUAAGCACCGGCUAACUCUGUGCCAGCCGCCGCCGUAA